rnacentral:rRNA from 1 species
AACGAACGCUGGCGGCAUGCCUAACACAUGCAAGUCGAACGAGACCUUCGGGUCUGGUGGCGCACGGGUGCGUAACGCGUUGGAACCUGCCCUUAGGUUCGGAAUAACUCCCCGAAAGGGGUGCUAAUACCGGAUUAUGUCUUCGGACCAAAGAUUUAUCGCCUUUGGAUGGGCCCGCGUUGGAUUAGCUAGUUGGUAGGGUAAAAGCCUACCAAGGCGACGAUCCAUAGCUGGUCUGAGAGGAUGAUCAGCCACACUGGGACUGAGACACGGCCCAGACUCCUACGGGAGGCAGCAGUGGGGAAUAUUGGACAAUGGGCGAAAGCCUGAUCCAGCAAUGCCGCGUGAGUGAUGAAGGCCUUAGGGUUGUAAAGCUCUUUUACCCGGGAUGAUAAUGACAGUACCGGGAGAAUAAGCUCCGGCUAACUCCGUG